GUCAGGCAUGGUGGUGCAUGCCUGUAGUCCUACCUACUUGAGAGGCUGAGGUAGGAGGAUUUCUUGAACCCAGGAAGUUUAGACUGUAGUGAGCCAUGAUUGUGCCACUGCACUCCAGCCUGGGUGACAGAGGAAGACUCUGUCUCAU
ensembl:misc_RNA Metazoa_SRP Metazoan signal recognition particle RNA